GUUGUCUCCUUGUCAUCAUGCUCCAACUCAUAAGAUGUGUGUUCUCUUUGCCAAUCUGUUAUGAUUUUAUGCCACAACCCAUAAGACGAAUAUUUGCCUUGCCAUUAUGUUCUGGUUUACUGCCAUAUAGUAUUAGAUGCAUAUUCUCCUUGCCGUUGUUUCCCUAUUUUCUGCCACAACCCAUUGGAUGGGCCACGGUUUCUCUGUUUCUAAAACAAAUGUCUUUCAUUUAAUUUAGUUUUAUCUGUACUUUUGUAAGUUUUUAAAAUGUCAAUCUCUGAUUUGAAAUUCGUAUCAUCUGUCUAUUUAGUAUGUUUCCCC
rnacentral:lncRNA from 1 species